AGACCACGCCCACCGAUGCCGGCAGCAGCUGGUGCAGCGGAGCUCAGAUCCUCUCUGUGGGGUCUGCACCGGCAAGGGCAGCUGCUCCCUGCCUUUCCUCAGGAGUCAGUGGAGGUAAUAACUUGUUUUCAUAUAAAGAACAAGUUUGUUCAACAGUGAUUUUGCCUGUUGACCAAAGACAGGACUCGUUACCCCUUAGGGCCUUGCUUGGUAAUAUGUGCUUUUGCUUUUUUUAGGUGGGGGUGGGUGGGCAGAGAGGCGCUCACGAAUGUUUUUAAAACUUUUGUAUAAAUUUUCAUUUUAUUCGUAACAUAAACAUCAUCUACAAGCAAAUCCACAUUCUGUUUUCUAUAUUAAGGCCUUUCAUACUUGUGAUUUAAAAUGCAUGCAUUCAUUUUUUUUCAUUAGGUUUCAAAUAAUCGUUUCAAUUAUUUCCAUGUUUUCAGGUAUCACUCUUCACUAUAUUAAAAGAUAAUAUCGCUUUUAUUAUUUUAAAGACAUAUAUUAUACAUUCUCUGAGGAUUUUCCAGAAAUUUCCUCUGUAAUACCUCUGGUUGGAAAGGUGAGGGACAGAGACUUUACUGGGAGUCACAGGAAAAGUCUGCUCAGUCUCCUGCUUAAAAAGAGCUCUGAAUGUUUUUAUUGCACAGAUGAAUUUUCUCUGAUUGUCAGAUGUUCACAAAGGCUUUAACUUGUAUGAAUGAACUCCGAGACCACCUUUCUGAAUGCACAGACCUGCCACGUUGUUGCUGUGUAAGCAUGAAUUUCAUCAUAUUGUCAGCUUUUCAUCUUACCCAAAAGCUAUAAACAUUGGCUAAAGUCCUCAAUUGCUUGCUCCUCAUUUUUGUAAAUGUGUGCAUGGCAUUUCCUUGAACAGAUGGCUCAUAAAACAGAUAUAAAUUCUCUUUGAUGAGUAAAUACGAAAAUUGUUUUCAGUUAAAUAAAAAAUGCCACUCAGAAAAUUGGCAAAUGCGUCUCCAGGCAGCAAAUAUUUUUAGAUUACGGUCUUGUAGAAAUAUAAUUACAAUAAGUACUUAUUUUGUUUUAUCACAUAGCAUGUUUCAAAGAGGUUUUCAUGCAUGUUUCUUUUUCGGAUUACCAUUUUUAUUGACAAUAAGUUGCCCAUCUUUCUAUUUCUGAUCUGAUCUUUUGAUGUCUGUUGUUUUUGUCUGAAGCUCUGACUCUCUUCUAAUGUACUUUGCAUAUGAAGAGAAAGCUGGUUAUCCUGACUAGUAAAGAAGGGAUUAUUGAACCUGAAACUGUGAAGAGACACAAAAGCAACAAGAGGACAGAAACAAUUCAGGGCUUCAAUAAGCAGAGUACAAUCUAUUUAGUGACUGCAAUGUGGAAAUCUCUAAUGUCAGCAAGACUGUGUUGAGAGGAACACAUUUUCUUGUGAGUGAGCAUUCCUAGAGGAUGAGUAUCUUAGAGACUCAACGGCAUAUGUCUGCUAUGCAAGUAAUGAGUCCUCCAUCUAAUGGUGUACAAACUAUUCUGGAAGGAUCUGUUCAGGAUUUAUGAGGUGUUAGCAACCUACAGAGCAAGAACACUGAUACUUUUUGGUUACUCCAAAUUAUUAUUUAUAAAAUAUUAUUAUAACUUGGUGUUUGUUUUGCCAGGUAAGACUUCAGUCAGGGGCUCUGAGGUCGGUACUGUAUCCAGGGAAUUUAAAGUCCAGAUCUUAGUUUAAAAAAAAUGGCCUGUCAUCUUCACUCUAUUAUUGAAUUAGAGCCUGACAUCAUUAAUUUUAAUUUUACUGAAUAUAAAUAGCAACCCUAUAUUCUAUGCAUACUGUUUUGACUGUGGCAUUUAUUUAGAGAAGAAUGGAGACAAGAUGAUUCCAACUUAAAGGAAACUGGAAGUAUUCUGAGGAAACAAAUAGAGAAGGUAAGCCUUACUGGUUUCUCCUUUUGAUGGCAACCAUCAAAAGGAUGGUUAUAAGUCUCUUAUAAAUAGAAAGCUCUAUUUGAGUUAUUCCAUUAUGGUAAUCUUAUCAGCAAACAUAAGACAUCAUAGGAAAGGCAGGUUAGGGUCCAGGUGGGGAGGUUUUACCUGCUUAUAGGCAUCAUUUCCUUCAGCUCUGAUGGGGCAUCCCCUUCAUCGCUUGGGCUUAUUGCAAGAUGGCUGGGUCAUUUCUUUUUGAAGUUAGGAAUAAGAUGAAAGCAUUGAAGGCCAAGUUUAUUUAAAUGAAUUUUACUUGUUUCUCACUUUUUCUUCUGUACUGCUCCUUUAGUUCUGUGACCCAUGUUUUGGUGAAGUAAUGAUGACACAGGGAUACCCUGCCUCAUGAACGCUGGUGUGACUUCUCUCUUCUGUUCUUACCACUGGACAUGAUGGCUUGAUGAAGUCAGGCCACCUCGCUCUUCUAUGCUCUCAGUUCCAUCUUCUCAACUCGGAAAGCCUGCCAAGGUCCUUACAACAUCACAGCUGGGAAACUCUCAAAGCAGUAAACUUGGGCAAUAGUAGGCUUCACUCACAUCAUUGUUGUGUAUUUCCAGGUAUCAUUGUUCUCCAUCAUUUGGUGUACAGUACUUUAAAAAAGUUUCAUAUUCUUUGUCCAUUUUUUUAUUUAUGUGUGAUAAGGCA
rnacentral:lncRNA from 1 species